ACUAAUAUGGCAGAAAAGUGCAAAGAAUUUAAGCUUCUUAUAUAUUUAAUAGUUAUUAGUA
rnacentral:tRNA from 1 species